UGGCUCAGGACGAACGCUGGCGGCGUGCCUAAUACAUGCAAGUCGAACGGUCUUUUCUAUGGAAGCUUGCUUCCACUGAGAAGAUAGUGGCGAACGGGUGAGUAACACGUGGGUAACCUGCCCAUAAGAGGGGGGAUAACAUCCGGAAACGGGUGCUAAUACCGCAUAGUUUUCUUGAUCGCAUGAUUGAGAAAGGAAAGACGGCCUUUGUGCUGUCGCUUAUGGAUGGACCCGCGGCGUAUUAGUUAGUUGGUGAGGUAACGGCUCACCAAGACGAUGAUACGUAGCCGACCUGAGAGGGUGAUCGGCCACAUUGGGACUGAGACACGGCCCAAACUCCUACGGGAGGCAGCAGUAGGGAAUCUUCCGCAAUGGACGAAAGUCUGACGGAGCAACGCCGCGUGAGUGAAGAAAAGGUUUUCGGAUCGUAAAACUCUGUUGUCAGAGAAGAACAAGUUGGAGAGUAACUGCUCCAGCCUUGACGGUAUCUGACCAGAAAGCCACGGCUAACUACGUGCCAGCAGCGGC
rnacentral:rRNA from 1 species